GGGUAAGUAUGGUGGUCGUGCCACCGGUACGUACUGGUCUCACUGAUUCCUCCUUCCUGAAGAACCGUAAUGCCAUUAAAUUGGUGUUGCGGGGAAACAGGACUGUUACUUUGAAAAAAUUAGAGUGUUUAAAGCAAGCUAACGCUUGAAUACAUUAGCAUGGAAUAAUGAAAUAGGACGAUCGAUCCUAUUUUGUUGGUUUCUAGGAUUGACGUA
rnacentral:rRNA from 1 species